AGUCAAUAGAUACCCGGGUAGUCCACGCCGUAAACGAUGAAUACUAGGUGUAGGGGUUGUCAUGACCUCUGUGCCGCCGCUAAACGCAUUAAGUAUUCCGCCUGGGGAGUACGGUCGCAAGAUUAAAACUCAAAGGAAUUGACGGGGGCCCGCACAAGCAGCGGAGCAUGUGGUUUAAUUCGAAGCAACGCGAAGAACCUUACCUAGACUUGACAUCUCCUGAAUUACCCUUAAUCGGGGAAGUUCCUUCGGGAACAGGAAGACAGGUGGUGCAUGGUUGUCGUCAGCUCGUGUCGUGAGAUGUUGGGUUAAGUCCCGCAACGAGCGCAACCCUUAUUGUUAGUUGCUACCAUUUAGUUGAGCACUCUAGCGAGACUGCCCGGGUUAACCGGGAGGAAGGUGGGAUGACGUCAAAUCAUCAUGCCCCUUAUGUCUAGGGCUACACACGUGCUACAAUGGCCGGUACAAAGAGAUGCAAUACCGCAAGGUGGAGCUAAACUAUAAAACCCGGUCUCAGUUCGGAUUGCAGGCUGAAACUCGCCUGC
rnacentral:rRNA from 1 species